rnacentral:rRNA from 1 species
UACGUAGGGUGCGAGCGUUGUCCGGAAUUAUUGGGCGUAAAGGGCGCGUAGGCGGUUUGUUAAGUCGGUUGUGAAAGCCCGGGGCUCAACCCCGGGUCGGCCGUGCGAACUGUUUUGCUUGAGCACUGUAGAGGCAGGCGGAAUUCCGGGUGUAGCGGUGGAAUGCGUAGAGAUCCGGAAGAACACCGGUGGCGAAGGCGGCCUGCUGGGCAGUAGCUGACACUGAGGCGCGACAGCGUGGGGAGCAAACAGG